rnacentral:rRNA from 1 species
AUAGCGUAUAUUAAAGUUGUUGCGGUUAAAAAGCUCGUAGUUGAAUCUGUGUCCCGCGCUGUCGGUUCACCGCUCGCGGUGUUUAACUGGCAUGAUUGCGGGACGUCCUACCGGUGGGCUUAGCCCCCUCCGGGGGCGGCCCAACUAAUAUCCCAUCGCGGUGCUCUUUACUGAGUGUCGAGGUGGGCCGGUACGUUUACUUUGAACAAAUUAGAGUGCUUAAAGCAGGCUAUUUUCGCCUGAAUACUGUGUGCAUGGAAUAAUGGAAUAGGACCUCGGUUCUAUUUUGUUGGUUUUCGGAACCCCGAGGUAAUGAUUAAUAGGAACAGAUGGGGGCAUUCGUAUUGCGACGUUAGAGGUGAAAUUCUUGGAUCGUCGCAAGACGGACAGAAGCGAAAGCAUUUGCCAAAAAUGUUUUCAUUAAUCAAGAACGAAAGUUAGAGGUUCGAAGGCGAUCAGAUACCGCCCUAGUUCUAACCAUAAACGAUGCCAGCUAGCGAUCCGCCGAAGUUCCUCCGAUGACUCGGCGGGCAGCUUCCGGGAAACCAAAGCUUUUGGGUUCCGGGGGAAGUAUGGUUGCAAAGCUGAAACUUAAAGGAAUUGACGGAAGGGCACCACCAGGAGUGGAGCCUGCGGCUUAAUUUGACUCAACACGGGAAACCUCACCAGGCCCGGACACCGGAAGGAUUGACAGAUUGAGAGCUCUUUCUUGAUUCGGUGGGUGGUGGUGCAUGGCCGUUCUUAGUUGGUGGAGCGAUUUGUCUGGUUAAUUCCGAUAACGAACGAGACUCUAGCCUGCUAAAUAGGCGUACUUUCCGGUAUCUCGAAGGCUCCCGGCUUCUGCCGUGGGGUUUUUACUACCGGCGUACAAAUAAUUCUUCUUAGAGGGAC